rnacentral:lncRNA from 1 species
ACCGAUCCCAAGAACAAGAUAAGAGAGAAGCUCUGGGCACCAAGCAAGAUAACACAUCUGAGUCCAGUGAGAAGGAACAGGGUGAUACGGUUUCUUUUUUUCUUUGACCAUACUAUGACUCUGUCCUCCCAAGGCAGCUGCAGUACUGGCUUACCUCGAGGAGCUGACUGGAGCCUCUUGUCUACAUGCAAAGGCUGCACUUAUGCUCAUGGAGAAGGCAAUUUAAUGGAUGAGCAUCUGCAGAGAGCAGUCAUGGGUGCUGAGGAUGUGACCUCUGUGAUGUUCCUGUUUUCCAUGCUUUGCUCUGUGCUAACCAUUGUCUGCUCCUGUGGCCUGUCCCCACUGUGGUGAUAGGACCAAAUAGUUGGUUUAGCUCUGGUUUAGGUGCCCAAAGGAUGCGCUGUAAUGUGAAUCAAAGUGCAGAAGUAGAGGACAAAUAGAAUAUUUGCUUCAAAGCAAAGAAGACCAUGAGUUCCCAGCCCUGCAGAUGGGAACCUGCAACCCUCCCUCUGGGUGAGAUCCCUUCCCUAGAGGGACUCUAGAGUUCUGUUACUGAAGAAACAUCUCAGCAACGUUGAGGCAACAAUCACGCCUUCACGGUCACCUUAGCCUGAGUGUUUCCAAGGGGAAAGGUGGCAAAAACAGCCCAACUGGUUAUGGCACACGCCCAUAGACUUACAACAUGCUGCCGUGGAAAGUGCCUAAAAGCUCCACAGGAUGCUUCCCACCACUCUGUAAUUCUCAUUUCUGCUCGCAGCUCUUCUGAUCGUGAAUAAGUAAGAUUUUGCUUUGACUUGACUGUUCUGCUCACUUAGCUGAUGUUGUGACAUUGGCAUUGAGUCGUGGGUUGUAUUGUGUUUUGGAGAGAUUAAAUGUUUUCUUCUUUAUUCAGAAGGGAAGCCAGACAACUAAGCUGCCAACAAUUACAGCUUGACACACUGUCAGAGGAGAGGAAGCAGUUUGUUAUCAUAGCUAUAUAGCAAGAGAAGAAUAUAUAUUGACAGGGUCCAUUUUAGAAUGGCAUUUCUCAGACACAAUUUCGAAUGAAUCAUCUUAGAAAGAACUACAGACAAUGUUCUUCCUUCCCCUUUCAGCAGGCAGGCAAAAGUCCACAAAAAUUUCACAAGCUAAAUCUCCAUACAGACAUCCAUAAUUCAGUGUGUCAGAGCUUUACUAUAAAGCUCAUCAUUUGUGAAGUUAUGUAAAAAUCUCCUUUGUAAGAAAAUCUUUCCCCACUAUCUUAGUAGGAAGGUGCUUUUUGAUCUCUGCAUGAAUAUUUCUAAUAAAAAUACUUGCGUGUAUCUUAACAUCUCUAACAUAAAUUAUAAGACCUUUUCCUCUAUUAAAACAUCUAGUGUCAACGCUGUUGUUGAAUACUUAAUGUAAAGUAUAAUGUAAUUUGACUAGAUAAUUAUCUGGGGGAAAAUGGUGAAUGCAGUGUUGUUUUUUCUGUGUUUGUUUUUCAUCUUUGGUGACUGUUUAAAGGAGAGCUGCAGCUGAAUGACUAACAGUCUAAGAUUCACCUUCUCUCACUGCAGCCUGCUGCUGAAAAGAUACUGCCACAGCACUGCAUCUGAGUGAGAGGCAUUGAUUUCUGCACGGCAUGUGGAAUACUCUGGGCCUUUCUAUGGUCAAUCUAUCACCCUGAUCUCUAGGGACGUUUAUAGACAGCACACAGCCUAUUUAUUUGGCACAGUGUCUUUCCAUUGAGAUUUCUCUUCCAUGAUACGCUCGCAGUGCUUUUUUUCCCC